ensembl:lncRNA
AGCAAGAGCGGACCUUAGCUAAAUCUGCUUUCACCAAGCAAGCAAACUACCUGAGCAAAGCUGCAGAUGGUAUGAUUAAGGAUGAACUACAAGAGGAGUUCAGCAAGCUCAGUUCUCUGGCAAGGUAUGUCAGCGAUUCAAAUGAUGACUACAGGGCUGGCCUACUGGCUGAAGCGGGAACUGAGGAGGGUGAAGAAGUCAAGCUCGACAAGCACCAGCAGGCUGAGCUUGAAAGGACAAUGGAAGAGUGCGACAUGAGACUGGGGGAAAUCCGUGAAGCAGUCCAAUCCAACCUCUGGUCAAGAUAUGGUAAAGAGGAGGUAGACUUUGCAAUCCAAGAAGCGGGAAAAGCCUGUGAUAGAGCCCAAGCAAGCCCCAUCACUGCUAUCAAUAGAGAUGGCUAUGAACUGCAGCUGGAAAGAGUGAGGAGGCUAAUUCAUGAUGCAACUGUAAGCCUGAAAGACUGGGAAAAAUGGAUCUCACAUGAUCAGACAGCACACUUGAAAGGCAGGUUAAAAGACCUGAGAAUAUUCGGCAGCAACCUCGAGGCCAGAAGAGCAGAAUUCCUCACUGCACAAAAAAUUGCAGAAGAGGAAAGAAGAGGUCCAGAGCCUCAACCAACAGCAGUUCCACAACCAGUGGUGAGAAUAAAGCCAACCAGUCUACCUAAAUUCACUGGGUUUAAGAGGAAUUUCCAUAGAUGGAGGAGAGACUGGGAAAAUCUGCAAAAGCAGGGAGAGCCGACUGGCUCAGUGGAAGUGAAGAAGUUCCAACUCCUUGACAGUGUGGACGAGAGAAUAUGUAGAGACCUGCGCCUGCCAACAUACAACAGUGCUGAUGAAAUAUUUAGAGUACUUCAAAACAGGUAUGGAGAUAAGCCAACAAUUGCCUUGGAGAUAAUUGAGGACCUGGAGAGGAUCCCUCCUUUAAAGUCACACCAGCCAAGGAAGGUAAUUGACCUAAUUCAAGCUGUGGAAAAGGCCCUGAAUGACCUCACGGAGCUCGAAAGUACUGGAGCCAUAAAAAAUCCCCUUGUGAUCAGAUCCAUAGAGAGCAAGCUGCCAGAUAAUAUAAAGAGGGACUGGCUGACUUUCAUGGUCAAUCCAAGAAAUGGAGUCACACUUGACAAUCACUUUGACAUCCUUCUAACAUUCUUAAAGACACAAGAGGACAUUCUAGAGAAACUAGACCAAUUGGGUGUAGGUGAAAAACCUGAAAAGAAAGCCACAUACCUGGAGAAGAGGUAUGCCUCGACAAAGUCCACGAGGAAAGGAGGAUGUGUUGUCUGUGGAGAUGAAAAGCACCGUGAGAAGAUAUUCUUUUGUAAGCAGUUCAAAGAACUAAAGCCUGGUGAGAAGCUGAAUGCUGUCGAAAGGCUGGGAGCAUGCAGAAGAUGCCUCAGAUGUCAUUCAGAGGAUGAUGAAUGUACGGACACAUACCUGUGCAGGAACAGAGACUGCAGGAGAGGAAGCUCUUCAGAUCACCAUUUCUUUCUCUGCCUGAAAGGAGGAUUCAAGGGGAAAGAAUCUGUGAAAGUGGGAAAACCCAGCACUAGGAGGCAAACAUUCACAGAGGAGCAAGAGGAAUUAAUAUCUGAGCUUACCCCGGAUAUGGCAGAAAAAUUCAGGAGAGCCUUCACCAACAUGGCUGCAAAAUCACACUGCACUGGAAGAAGCCUUCCUGGAGUGAUGGACUCAAGCACACAUGAGUUACCAGUUAUUCUUAUGCUUCUCGAAGUAACCACCAACGCAGGACAGAAAAUUGGAACUCUCAUUGACUUAGCAUCAGAUACCAACUACAUCACUCAUGUAGCUGCCAGGAGACUGAAGCUUCAAAGUGAAAAGAUCACGCUUGUCGUCCAUGGAGUUGGAGGCAUGGCCAUGAAGGUAAAGACCAAAAGAUACUUACUCAAGGUAAGAGUCAAGACACCUAGAGGCACGGAGAGAGCUCAUGAGCUGAUCUGUUAUGGGUUGGAUGAAAUUGCAAAAGUUCACAGAGUAAUCAAAGCACAGCAACUCAAGAAGUUCUUCCCCGAUUCCAACCUGGAAGAUCUUCACAGACCAGAACACGUGGAGCUUCUCAUAAGCCACCGUGAAGGAAGACUUGCUCCACAGAGAGUAAAGGUAGUAGGAGAUCUUGUCCUGUGGGAAAGCCCUUUAGGAAAGACCGUUGGCGGAGCACAUCCAGACCUCUGUGAAGUAGUGGACAUGGCCUUGCACAAUUCUGAGACUCACUUUGCACGAUCGAUGAGAAUCACAGCAGUGAAGUAUCAAGAAAUUGCUGAGAUGCAAGAAUCUAGAGCUGAAACCAAAACCACUGUUAUUGGCAGAGAGUUCUUGGACUGGUGGAAGUGGGACAGCAUUGGUGCGGCCUGCGAACCCAAGUGUGGAGGAUGCCGGUGUGGUAACUGUCAACCAGGAGGCAAAGACAUGACUCUGAGUGAAGAAAGAGAGCUUGAGAUGAUCAGGCAAGGCCUCAGUUAUAUGAAGUCAGAUGCGCAUAGUCAGGAGCCUCAUUGGGACACAAAAUACCCCUGGAUUGAAGAUCCAAGUUCCCUGCCCAACAACAGAAGCGCAGUGGAAGCCACGUUUCUGAGGACGGAGAAACAGCUCAAGAAAGAGCCAGAGUGGCGUGCAGCAUACACAACUCAAGUCCACGAGAUGGUGGAAAGGAAGGCAGCAAAGAAACUCACUAGAGAGACCAUUGCUGAUUGGAAAGGACCGGUAUGGUACGUCAGUCAUUUGGUGGCGCCAAACCCACACUCUGUAACAACACCUGUCCGACUGGUAUGGAACAGCAGCCAGAAGUUUAGAGGAAUCAGCAUGAAUGACCUUCUCCUGAAAGGGCCUGAUGUACUUAAUCCCAUCCGAGCAGUGCUACUAAGGUUCAGGAGAGGAGUCCAUGCUGCCCUCGGCGACAUC